UGUGUGUGACCAUCGGCGAGUCGGCGUCAAUAAGCAUCUUCGAGCCCAGAUUGCCAGCAAGAUUCUAUUCAUUUGCUCUAGUAUGUUUCAACUCGAAAACUCUUUUCCCAGGUAUCGUCUAAUUAUAUUUAAAACAAUAGAAAACUUUGAUCGAAAAAUAAUAUAUAAACGAUUAUAACUAAAAAGCUCAAUAAUUUUAUUAAGAUGCAUAAUUAUAAAACUUAAAAUAAAUUGUUCUAUAGCAAGAUUCUGAAACACAAAACAUAGAUAUAAAAUGUAAAUAGGGUAUGAAUUAAAAGAAAAAAAGCAUUCAAGUUUGAUCAACUCUCCAUGUCUGAAUUCAUAAUUCUGUGGUAGGAAUCCUGUGACCAAACAAACAUAAGUGGAUAGAAAUUAGUGUAACCUCUUCAUAGUUUUCCGCCAACCACCAAAUACAUAUGCAAAAUAUGUCCAUAUAGUGUACUUACUUUGAUUUGAAGUUUUGAAUUUCUGCCAUGUCAUGAUCAAAUAAGAUUUGAGAACCACCUUCUAGGUUAGUUACAUAGUUGAAGCCACCUAUUUAAGAAACAUAAAAUGUUACCAUACUAAAGAAAUAAUUUAGAGAUUAUAAUCUAGAAAAUCAUAUUGCUAACCUUCUCCCCACACGAUACUCCAUGACCUCAAAACACACAGAUCGACUUUAGCAGUUGAGGUACGGUAGUAAUUGUUCAAAGUCACGGCUUCCUUUCCAUAGGCAACACACUUGAUGUGCUUCAAGCUGUAACUACCAUAUUGUUAGCAACUUGAUGUAUAUGAAAAGCAUAGAUCUAUUUAGAAAUUAAAAUCAUGGUAUAAGUCAGAAGUUCAAACCCUAUGUUAACCAAAUAAAACUCCAUCCUGGUCGUCUGAUAAGAAUAAAUCUCGCCAGGUCCUAGAUCUCCAAUUUGUUGCAACUCCCCCACAGCAACUAUAGCUCCACAAAGGUCUAUAAACAUAAUGGAAAGUAUAUUAAAAUUGUUAGGUCGACCAUGUUAGAAGACACUUACACAUAAUCUAUCAUAAUAUAAAUGAAAAUAUAUACUAACUUACCAAUAGAAUACAUUGGAUGCAAUAGACCUUUGAGUACAGAACUGAAGUUGGCAAGGCAAAGAAAAUUUGAAGCAAUGAUGGGUUCAAUCUUUGUAAGAACUGUUGUGUCUGUGAACUUAAUAUUGUAUUUGCUCCUUGUUGUUCUUAUCAACGCAAAAGAAGGCCUUAAUUUGAAAUUAUAUAUCUCAAACCAAUCACCUUCUUCAAGAUAGAUUCCUUUAGGAAGAUAAACAUCAUCCGGCAAAGUUGCUUCCAUUGUAAAUCCCUGCAGAUAUUUAUAAACAAUAAGUUUUAAUUAUAUUUUUAUAUUAGAUCUAAUAAUAUUUGAAAAGGAUAGCUUACUUUCUCAUCUCCUAAUACCAUUACACAAUGCUGGGGUAUUCCUCCUCUCAUGGUAUUCCAUUUGCUGACGACCUUAACACGUAUGGCAUGUGUAGGUGUCAAUGGCUGCAACUGAGAAAGGAAAAAAUACUCUGCCAUCGAGAAAAAACAAAGUAAGUUUCUAGUCUAUUCUAUGGUCUAUGAUGGAGAAGUUUAUGUAAAAUGUACUUUGCUUUAUAUACUGUUAGGUUCAUUGCGAUAAAAUAUUUCAGUGAACCAAAUAUGGGUAUGUUAGCAUAAUCAUAAAUAUUGUAUAUAUAUACAUACCAUUCUUCUGUUCGUCUGAUUUAUUAAAAAUACGAUGAAUAUAUGUCCUUUAAUUACUAACUAUAUAGUUAUGGAGGUUGUUUAGUUUCAAGAAACUAUAUAUAUAUUCUUUACUUUCUUCUCAUCAGAAACAUAUAUAACUUACGAUCCUAUAUAAUAGGGGUGGGCGUUCGGAUACCCGUUCGGGUUCGGAUCGGGUAUUUCGGAUUUUCGGGUAUUUCGGUAUAGAGGUGUAGAACCCGUUCGGGUAUUUCUGUACUUCGGGUCGGGUUCGGGUAUUUUUAGUUCGGUUUCGGUUAUUUCGGAUCGGGUUCGGAUAUUUAGAUUUUGAAAAAAAAAAAUUAAAAUUUUCAUUUUUCAAAUUUCUUGUAUUUAAAUAUAUAACUUUCACUUAACUAUUUUUUGUAUUUUUAAUAGAUUGAAUGGUUAAUAGAUUUGGACAUAACAUUUUCAAACUAAAAAGACAUUAAUUUGGUUAUUGUUUUUAAAUUUUGGAUGUAAUUUUUUGUUAAUUGUUGAAAUAAAAAGUUUGACAUGUAUUUUAAGUGCAUAGCAAAUCAUCUUCUACGUAAUUGUAUGUAUAUCAUAUGAAUUUAAAAUAUGUGUAGUAUCAAUAUAAAUAUUUUAUAUAAAAUGAAAGAUGUAAAUUAAAAAUAUAAGGUUAAUUAUACAUAUGUUCGGUUAUCUUCGGAUAUCCAUUCGGGUUCGGAUAUUACCCGUUCGGGUUCGGAUAUCCAAUCUCUCCUAAUUUAAUACCCGUUCGGAUAUUUUGCUAUUUCGGUUCGGAUUUCAGUUCGGGUUUUUUGGAUCGGGUUCGGGUGCCACUUCGGAUUUCGGGUAAAGUGCCCACCCCUACUAUAUAAUAUAACAUAUACAGGCUAACGUUAAGAAUCUCACAAUUUUAUGGAAGGAAAAAUAUAUAUCAAAUUUAGUGCGUGGCCGCAAAGUUUGACAUUUUUAAUUAACUAUUUUAGCUUUCAUUUUAUUUGUUACAGGAAAAGCGGGGGCGCAGAAUAUGAAAUUCAGGUUAACAAAUCCGACCGGGAGGCUGUUAGUGGGCUUUUAUUUAGGUUAGUAACGUUAUGAGGACAUUCACAAAAGUCCAUUAAAUAAAUAGAUAUGUCGUGAUUGCUUAUAUGUUUAGAAUGCUAGACUUGCUAAGUUGCAUUGAAGUAGAUAAGCUUAUAACAAUAGGUUCUAUUGGAUAGUAUAAGUAGAAUUGAUAGACUUGAAAUGAAAAAUGUCAAAAGCGUAGUCCUCCUCUCACUUUGCUUCCUAGAAGUCUGUCAUCGUCGCACCUCUGCAAAAAUAAUUUAGUUACUAGGUUAAGACCCGCGCCUUGCGCGGAAUGAACAUUAUAUAUAUAAAUUAUUUUAUUUAUUAUAUGUUUAUAACAUAUUUUAAAUAUAAAUAUAUAUUGAAUAAUUAAAAAGGUCAUUAUCUACUAUUUAUAUAAUUAAAUUGGUGCGAAUAUAUAAAUAAAUUUAAUAAAUCGAAAAAAUAUUUUUUUUUAUUUGAUAUGAUAAAUAAUUAAAUUUAAAUGAUAGUAACAUAUAUAUGGUAUAUGUUAAUAUUAAUAUUUAUUAGAUGAUGUUUUUUGCUCAUAUUUUUUUUUAUCAUUUUUUA
rnacentral:lncRNA from 1 species